GAUGAACGCUGGCGGCGUGCCUAAUACAUGCAAGUCGAGCGAACGGACGAGAAGCUUGCUUCUCUGAUGUUAGCGGCGGACGGGUGAGUAACACGUGGAUAACCUACCUAUAAGACUGGGAUAACUUCGGGAAACCGGAGCUAAUACCGGAUGAUAUUUUGAACCGCAUGGUUCAAAAGUGAAAGACGGUCUUGCUGUCACUUAUAGAUGGAUCCGCGCUGCAUUAGCUAGUUGGUAAGGUAACGGCUUACCAAGGCAACGAUGCAUAGCCGACCUGAGAGGGUGAUCGGCCACACUGGAAGUGAGACACGGUCCAGACUCCUACGGGAGGCGGCAGUAGGGAAUCUUCCGCAAUGGGCGAAAGCCUGACGGAGCAACGCCGCGUGAGUGAUGAAGGUCUUCGGAUCGUAAAACUCUGUUAUUAGGGAAGAACAUAUGUGUAAGUAACUGUGCACAUCUUGACGGUACCUAAUCAGAAAGCCACGGCUAACUACGUG
rnacentral:rRNA from 1 species